rnacentral:tRNA from 1 species
GGACAUAAUUCAAUGGUAGAAUGACGGUCUCCAAAACCGUUCAUGAGGGUUCAACUCCUUCUGUCCC